rnacentral:misc_RNA from 1 species
UUUCCGUAGGUGAACCUGCGGAAGGAUCAUUACAAGGAUCAUGCCAGAAAGGCUAGACCUCACACCCUUGUGAACUAUUACUUUGUUGCUUUGGCGAGCGCACGCUGGCCAGAUAAUACCAAAACUAUUUUUAUUCAUGUCGUCUGAGUACUAGAUAAUAGUGAAAACUUUCAACAACGGAUCUCUUGGUUCUG